GACAGAGGUGCCAAGCGUUAGGCGGAAUCACUGGGCUUAAAGCGUGUGUAGGCGGACUUCUAAGUACCUUGUGAAAUCCCCCGGCUCAACCGGGGAACUGCUGGGUAUACUGGGAGUCUUGAGCCAGCUAGGGGUCGCCGGAACAAGUGGUGGAGCGGUGAAAUGCGUAGAUAUCACUUGGAACGCCAAUGGUGAAAACAGGCGACUGGGGCUGUGCUGACGCUGAGACACGAAAGCCAGGGGAGCGAACGGGG
rnacentral:rRNA from 1 species